UACGUAGGGUGCAGGCGUUAACCGGAAUUACUGGGCGUAAAGCGUGCGCAGGCGGUUUUUUAAGUUAGAUGUGAAAGCCCCGGGCUUAACCUGGGAACUGCGUUUGAAACUGGGAGACUUGAGUGUGGCAGAGGGGGGUGGAAUUCCACGUGUAGCAGUGAAAUGCGUAGAUAUGUGGAGGAACACCGAUGGCGAAGGCAGCCCCCUGGGUUAACACUGACGCUCAUGCACGAAAGCGUGGGGAGCAAACAGG
rnacentral:rRNA from 1 species